GACGAACGCUGGCGGCGUGCCUAAUACAUGCAAGUCGAGCGGACCGACGGGAGCUUGCUCCCUUAGGUCAGCGGCGGACGGGUGAGUAACACGUGGGUAACCUGCCUGUAAGACUGGGAUAACUCCGGGAAACCGGGGCUAAUACCGGAUGCUUGAUUGAACCGCAUGGUUCCAAUCAUAAAAGGUGGCUUUUAGCUACCACUUACAGAUGGACCCGCGGCGCAUUAGCUAGUUGGUGAGGUAAUGGCUCACCAAGGCGACGAUGCGUAGCCGACCUGAGAGGGUGAUCGGCCACACUGGGACUGAGACACGGCCCAGACUCCUACGGGAGGCAGCAGUAGGGAAUCUUCCGCAAUGGACGAAAGUCUGACGGAGCAACGCCGCGUGAGUGAUGAAGGUUUUCGGAUCGUAAAACUCUGUUGUUAGGGAAGAACAAGUACCGUUCGAAUAGGGCGGCACCUUGACGGUACCUAACCAGAAAGCCACGGCUAACUACGUGCCAGCAGCCGCGGUAAUACGUAGGUGGCAAGCGUUGUCCGGAAUUAUUGGGCGUAAAGCGCGCGCAGGCGGUUUCUUAAGUCUGAUGUGAAAGCCCCCGGCUCAACCGGGGAGGGUCAUUGGAAACUGGGGAACUUGAGUGCAGAAGAGGAGAGUGGAAUUCCACGUGUAGCGGUGAAAUGCGUAGAGAUGUGGAGGAACACCAGUGGCGAAGGCGACUCUCUGGUCUGUAACUGACGCUGAGGCGCGAAAGCGUGGGGAGCGAACA
rnacentral:rRNA from 1 species